CUCCACCCAUAUCAAAUGAACUUGUUGCUUCUUCUCUCCGUCACACCAGUUUCUUCCGCCGCUGUCGCCGCCGCUGGUGUCACAGAUCUCUCUCCGUCGUCCCUUGCGUCGCACGGGCUCCCUCUGCCUUCACAUCCAACCCUAACCCCAGAGCUUCGUCGCGCCUCCAACCCUAAUCCCAGAACUUCGUCGCGCUUCCAACCCCUGCUUCGCCGCUCCCUCCAUCGACGCUCCCUCCGUCUCAAAGCCUCCGUCGUGCUCACUCUCUCGUAAGCCUUCAAAGGUCGCUCCUUCCUCUAUGGCUGAAACCCGUAAUGCUCUGUUUUUCCUCCUGCGUCGCCGGUCUCCGUCUCCUCCUGCGUGUGGCUGUGCUGAAGCUCCAUGGGAAAGAUAUACAACGGAUUCCAUGGGUGAAGCUUAACCACAGCUACAGAAGUACCGCUUGACUCGAUUGAAGCAGUACAAGAACUACGAGAACCUCUCGUUCUCGUGAGGAUCUCGACAAGGAGUGUUUGGAAGUGCAGAAGGAGAAGGCCUUCUGUAUUGGCACCACUUGGGGAGCCAGUACCUAUUGAAUCCAACAUGAGUAGCUUUUAUGGGAAGAACAAGAACAGUAACCCUUUUUUUUAGUUUUACAAUUCUUUCUUUUUCUUUCUCCAUAGUAUAUGCUUCUUUAUAUAUAACCCUCAAAUUGUUGUGAUGGCUGUAGCUUUUCUUUAAAUGUAACAUACUGUUAUUUCAUUUGCCAAACACACUCAGCAUAACAUGUUUGUCUAUCUAUGUGAUUGCAGAUCUUUCAGAAAGCUAUCUCGUCUUCAAACGCUUACAACGAUCAGUUCAGGUAUGUCAAACUCUUCCGCUAAGUAUUAAUGGAAUUUCUUCUUGCAUAUGUGAGUUUCAUUUUAUGGGAGUAAAACAUGGGAAUUUAGCUUAAUAAACCCUGUUAACAUUCCUUUAAAGUCAUGGUAAAAAAUAUAUAUACUUGUUCCAUAGUUAUAUUUUUUGAAGCCUUUUGUUUCUUGAUAAAAUGGAUUAUUAUUAUUAUUAAAAGAGAAGGAUAAUACUAAGACCAUUGAAGACAAGAAACAAAAAAUAUCGAAAGAGCAAAGCUUUCUAAUCCCUACUAUACUGAAUGAUUUUCUUUUUCUAUAUGUGGAAUCCCCAUUUCCCCUGUAAUGUUCAUCUGAUACUUUCUUAUUCUUGUUUCUGGUUGUCAUGUUGCGCUAUUGGUUUCUGAAAGCCAAGAAACAAGGUAAGUUAAGAAUUCUGCUCAAACUUUUUAAUGUGGGCUUCUUCAUGCCUACCCUUUAAGUUGUUCAAAUUUCAUCAUGGAAGGGAGAAGAACGGAUCGCAAGUAUUCAUUUCGUCUUAGUUUUGAGGACUUUACCAAUCUACAAGAAUUUGAUAGUACGCAAAAUUCAGAUUUACCAUUCUUUGAUCUAAGCUCAAUAGCUGCUGCAACAGAUUAUUUCUCCCCUGACAAUAAACUUGGUCAAGGUGGAUUUGGUUCUGUAUAUAAGGGAUGCAGCAAUUCCAGCAAUGACCUUGUUGGUUGGUGCAAAUCUUGUUAAGGGUUUAGAGGGAGUAAAAAAGCAACUUCCACUUGUUAUUGGGAUUACUAUAGUUAGAUUUAUUGUCUUGCCAGCAAUAGGUAUAUGAAUGGUUUUUGU